rnacentral:rRNA from 1 species
UUCCCCAGUCGCCGCAUACCAUGCAAGUCGAACGCGAAAGUGGAGCAAUCCAUGAGUAGAGUGGCAAACGGGUGAGUAACGCGUGGGCGACCUACCUUCGAGUGGGGGAUAACCUUCCGAAAGGAGGGCUAAUACCGCAUGACAUCCCGUGUUUGGAUACACGGACAUCAAAGCCGGGGAUCGCAAGACCUGGCGCUUGGAGAGGGGCCCGCGUCCGAUUAGCUAGUUGGUGGGGUAACGGCUCACCAAGGCUCCGAUCGGUAUCCGGCCUGAGAGGGCGGACGGACACACUGGAACUGAGACACGGUCCAGACUCCUACGGGAGGCAGCAGUGGGGAAUUGUUCGCAAUGGGCGCAAGCCUGACGACGCAACGCCGCGUGGAGGAUGAAGACCUUCGGGUCGUAAACUCCUUUCGACCGAGAUGAAUUCCCGCCGACCUAACACGUCGGCGGGGUGACAGUAUCGAGGGAAGCAGCCCCGGCUAACUCCGUGCCAGCAGCCGCGGUAAUACGGGGGGGGCGAGCGUUGUUCGGAAUUACUGGGCGUAAAGGGUUUGUAGGUGGCCUGCUAAGUCACACGUGAAAUCCCUCAGCUUAACUGGGGAACUGCGUCUGAUACUGGUGGGCUUGAGGACAGGAGAGGAACGCGGAAUUCCAGGUGUAGCGGUGAAAUGCGUAGAUAUCUGGAGGAACACCGGUGGCGAAGGCGGCGUUCUGGACUGUUUCUGACACUGAAAAACGAAAGCCAGGGGAGCAAACGGGAUUAGAUACCCCGGUAGUCCUGGCCCUAAACGAUGAAUGCUUGGUGUGAUGGGUAUCGAUCCCUGUCGUGCCGUAGUUAACGCGUUAAGC